GCCUAUUUCGCUCAGGCGGAGCUCGACCGCCGACCGUAGACGUCGAUGCGUUCAUUGCCGCGCACCGCGACGAGCAUGGGGUCGAGCCGAUCUGCGAGGUCCUG
rnacentral:ncRNA from 1 species